rnacentral:rRNA from 1 species
GACGAACGCUGGCGGCGUGCUUAACACAUGCAAGUCGAACGGUGAAGGGACCGGUUUUUGCUGGUUCUGGAUGAGUGGCGAACGGGUGAGUAACACGUGAGUAACCUGCCCCCUUCUUCUGGAUAACCGCAUGAAAGUGUGGCUAAUACGGGAUAUUCUGCGCCUGCUGCAUGGUGGGUGUGGGAAAGAUAUUGUUUCGGUGGGGGAUGGGCUCGCGGCCUAUCAGCUUGUUGGUGGGGUGAUGGCCUACCAAGGCGGGGACGGGUAGCCGGCCUGGGAGGGUGGGCGGUCACACUGGGGCUGAGACACGGCCCAGACUCCUACGGGAGGCAGCAGUGGGGAAUAUUGCACAAUGGGCGCAAGCCUGAUGCAGCGACGCCGCGUGGGGGAUGGAGGCCUGCGGGUUGUAAACCUCUUUCGCCAGUGAAGCAGGCCUGUCCCUUUUGUGGGUGGGUUGACGGUAGCUGGAUAAGAAGCGCCGGCUAACUACGUG